rnacentral:rRNA from 1 species
UACGUAGGGACCGAGCGUUGUCCGGAAUCAUUGGGCGUAAAGAGCGUGUAGGCGGCUAUUUAAGUCCUGCGUGAAAUCCUGCGGCUCAACCGCAGACGGUCGUGGGAAACUGGAUGGCUAGAGUGCGGGAGAGGAGAGUGGAAUUCCCGGUGUAGCGGUGAAAUGCGCAGAUAUCAGGAGGAACACCGGUGGUGUAGACGGCUUUCUGGACCGUAACUGACGCUGAGACACGAAAGCGUGGGUAGCAAACAGG